AAUACGUUCCCGGGCCUUGUACACACCGCCCGUCAAGCCAUGGAAGCUGGGGGUACCCGAAGUCCGUGCCCUAACCCUUCGGGGAAGGAGCGGCCGAAGGUAAACCCAGUGACUGGGGCU
rnacentral:rRNA from 1 species